rnacentral:sRNA from 1 species
UGUGUGAGGUCAUCUGGCUAUGACAUCUGAUCAUUGUGACUGAUCUGGCUGACUUUGAUGGAUGGGCAGGUGCCCUUCCUUCCCUCAUCACUCACUGUGCAUCCCUUCUGAACUUGGAGAAGCUCAGAAUGUGAAGAUGACCUUCCCAGAGAGAAAACUGUUCUUCUGCCACAAGUACAAUAACGUUCCCUCCCUAAAACCUCCAAACAAGCUCUCAAGGAAGUAGGUCACCGGUAGACUGUCCAUGGGUCAUCUUGUUCUGGCUCCUGCCUGUCUUU